rfam:Ictidomys tridecemlineatus contig094794, whole genome shotgun sequence.
GGUGAUGUAACUCAGUGUUAGAGUGCUUGCCCAUCAUAUGCAAGGCCCUGGGUUCAAUCCUUAGUACCACCA